rnacentral:rRNA from 1 species
UACGGGGGGGGCAAGCGUUGUUCGGAAUUACUGGGCGUAAAGGGCGCGUAGGCGGCCUGCUAAGUCGGACGUGAAAUCCCUCGGCUCAACCGAGGAACUGCGUCCGAUACUGGUGGGCUUGAAUCCGGGAGAGGGAUGUGGAAUUCCAGGUGUAGCGGUGAAAUGCGUAGAUAUCUGGAGGAACACCGGUGGCGAAGGCGGCAUUCUGGACCAUAACUGACACUGAGAGACGAAAGCCAGGGGAGCAAACGGG